rnacentral:lncRNA from 1 species
GUGUGACCUAUAUUGUGGACUGCAUGCCUGGAAGUUGAGCAGGCCACGAGGCCAAAGCUAAGAGGAUUGCAGAGACGCUGGUCCCAGACCAUUUGACCACCGACCCAAUGUCAGCACCUUCUUGUGGUGUGAAGGGAGGGACCUGUUUGUUAACCGGCCAUUCUAUUACUUGCAGCUGAGAACAUUCCCAAAUGAAGUAUAUGGAUUUGCUGAGGCUUGUCGAAUAAGGCCUUUCACCUACAAGAAACUGCUGCCUGAUUUUCAAAGCACAUCACCAGUGUGUGUCCUCUAGUGGGGACGAGGCUGGGCGAGGUAGCCUGGUCCUCAUCUGCCGAGCUGGUCCGAGAGUUGUUAUUUUGGUCUUUUCGUGAAUCUUAAUUUAAGGAGAGAGCCAGUUUCCCCUCGUUCCUGUGUUAUACAUCAGGGAGCUAUGGGGUCAGUGGGGCAUCAGCGGGCCGUGAAGGAGAACUCUGACAGUGUCCCAUAUGGAUGGAAAACUUAGAGAUGUUUACCACCCUUUCAAGAGAUGUGAAUUUCUCAGCAGAAGGCAAGUGUCUUUUUAUUUGAGCUACGAGGAUGAUGGAUCCAGAAGCCAAACAGCAAGGUGGAAUGCUGGCGUAAAUUAAGCAGAUCACCUCUGAGAUGGAUUCAUCAAAAAAUCCAUGAAGACAGCUUGUUUUUUGUGGAAAUUACCUCUUGUUCUCAUCACAAUCCUUUCUUAGUGUUGGGGGUUGGGGUCGUAAUGCUGCCUAAGCCAGUGAAAACCAAUAUGGUAAUUGGAGGGAAAUUGCUUUAAAGGAAUGGCGAAUGAUGAAAUGUGCCUGUUCCAUCAUUGACUCUUAAAUAGAUCUGGUGCAUCUGUGCAAAUAGCUUUGGAAGCCCCGGCAGGGCCACCAAAUACAGUUGUCUGGGCUGCUCACUGUACAAAUCUUGGAGCCAUCAAUUGCAUAAAAUGACCAUAUGUGACAGCCUCAGGAGAAGUGCCUGGUGAUUUUAACUGUCUCUGAUGCUCAUCCCAGCUUCUCUGGCACAUAUCCUUAUUGACUUUGCUUUUUCGUUCCAGCCUUUUUAUCAAUUCAUUCAUCUUCCAAUGCAGAAGGUCUCAAUUUUGCCUCUCAUACCUCUUCCUCAUGCAAGCCCCCGUCACUUGGCUAGACCAAGCCACACAAGAGGACGGACCCUCACCUCUCACCGGUCCUUGAGAUGCCUAGACAAGAAGCUUGGCUGCAGCCACAGCAUUGUUCUCCUCCCAGCCUCCAAAGAACCCAGGGCUCUCAAAGCAAAGUGUUCUUCCUCCCGAUGGGACCAGAUGGGCUGUCCAGAUAGUUUCCAUUUGCCAUCUCAAGUAAAACACCAAGAUGCUACAAAAAGAAGCCUGGCUUUUCCAUCUCGCUCCUCAACUUAGCAUGUGGACCUCAAAUUAUUCCCAGUGCCAAUCCUUUGAGAAAACGAACCGUUGAAAGAGCCAGGGGGGAAGGGAGAAGGAAAAAAAGAACACGUGAGCUCUUUCUAAAGAAAUCUGAAGGGCAGUAGGUGGAGGAAACGACCAUGUUUGCUCCAUCCUCUUGGUGUGAUGGUCAAGGGCACGGGUUUUGCUGAAGCCAGGUGCCCAUCCCAGCUGUCCCUCUUUUAUCCAUGUGACUCUGGGCAGAGCAUUCCACUGCUCUGAGUCUGUUUCCUCGACUCCUAAAAAAAGGAUAAUUAUGCUUACAUUCAAGACUUGCUUUGAAGAUGAAGUGACAUAAUACAUGAAGCAUUUGGGACUCAUAAUCAGUUAUCAGUAGACUUUAGCUGUUAUUAUUUUAUUAUUAUCAACAACUAUAAAGGGGAGAAAGGCAGACUCUUGCUUAGCAGAGCAGGAAACUUUUUAAAAAAUUGCUAGAGCUCGUCAAAGAGGGCAGAACAAUCUUUUGAGAUUAUCAGCAUUCCAGACUUCAGACCUUGAAAUAUCAACAGGAUGACCAUCUCUCAGGGAUGUUGUAGAGGAGAUUCCCACUUUGUGGGUCCUUCUGUGAGGGAUGCCAGAGGAAGGGCAGUGUAUUAAAUCAUCAGAGAUGCCCCUUAGCCACCAGAUACUCUGAAACUGUGCUACUAUUCUAAGAGCUUACCCACAUUCUGAUCUUUGGAGAUAGUUUGGUGUCAUUCCUUCCUUCCUUUCAUCUAUCCAUCGAUCCAUCGAUCCAUCGAUCCAUCCAUCCAUCUACCCAUCUACCCACCUCUCUAUCUACCUACCUACCUACCUGGCUAUCAUCUUAGGAGUUAAACCUGAAAGUUCCGGAUGAUAGCAUUUCUUGGGCUGGUGGAAGAUCCUCUGAGUCUUUAUCUGAUGGAAUUUUGAAUCUUUGUUGAUGCUGAUAAUGCCCAAUUAAGAAGUCAGCUCUUCCUAUCCCUUCAAUCCAUUCCCAUUAGCAUCUUAUUGUCAUGGGAGAACCUGAGCUCUUUGGGCAUAUAGAUCUGGGUUUGAAUCCCUCUUAGCUGGCUGAGUGACCUUCAGUAGGUUAUUUACCUUCUCUGAGCCCUGUUUCCUUAUUUAUCAGGAAAUGAUAUCCAUAUAUGAGUGGUGUGGUUUGGGGGAGGUUUAGCGAUAAUGUCUGCAUAGUACCUAGCACAAUAUCUGACAGAGCUGGGAUACAGGACCUGGAAAUUACAACAAUAAACACUAUAAUAGUAAAAAUACUUAUUUGUAUUGUUAGUACUAUUUAUUCCUUUUUUAAAAACUAUAAAAAGAGCUAUUUCAUUUGAAACAGUCAGCCACAGAGAAAGACUAUCCUGCAGUGAGUAGGGGAGAAAAACACCACAGUGGGAUGAGAAAGAUUUGAUCUGUAGAAGUUUGGGGCUGUGUGUGUGAUUUUUAUAAGAUUGGCAGCCGUAAAAAGAACUUACAAGAGUAGCUAUCAGGGGAGAAACUGAUCACAAAGCUUAGCGUAAGCAAGAAUUAUGCUUUUCUUCUGUGCUCCAGGAACGCUGCACCCUCUGGGGGCUGGUUUUCAUUCACAAUCUUAGUAACUCCGGAGCUGCAGACAGCCAACCUUGCAUUGAUGGGAGCCCUGCAGGGGAGCGAGGCCACCCGGAUAACCAGGGACCACAGUUACGCCUAUUGUUACUACUCUCCACGGAGUGCGUGUGUUUGUGUGUGUGUGUCAUCGUGCUAGGAUGAUUCCAGCCCUUUGCGGGACACGGUGGCGAGAUGCAGAAUUCUCAGCACAUAACCACUCUGUUCAAACAUGGCUUCUAGCAGCAGAAGACCACGUCCCUAGGAUGCCCCCAGAUCCCAUUAAAAGGCCUGCCUGAGAAAGCUCAGUACUGCCAGGAAAGUUACUGUGUGUUCCAGCCAACACCUGACACAGGCCCCUGACCUCCCUUUCUUAGACCAUUUACUAAAAAGGUCUUAUGAUGGUGAACAUGUAUCUCUUACAGCUCACGUGUUUUUCUCAAGGACCUGAGAGCCUUUCGUUUCCAAAGGGAUAGGCCUCCCAGUCUCUGUGGGAGGAUGGAAUUCUAAAUUUGAUAACUCCCAGCUAGCAGACACAGCUGACCUAACUGCAUUCACGCUGACCAAUCCUUUGCAAGCUUUCUCUUCUCUGACUCAGCUGAGCCCCUGCUCUCCCCCUCCCUCAUUCUCCCUUUAAAAUGCCCAGAUCCCCUCUGCACAAAUUGGAAUGGAGCUCAGCUUUUCCCCCUGCUGUCAGCAGUUACUGAAUAAAAUCUGUUUUCAUUGCAUUAAUUAAUGUCUGGCCAUGUUUGUCUUUGACAGAGGAAAGGCUUUCCCAGGGCAAGGUGGAUGUAUUUGUCUGGUCACUGGCAGAGGGUCAAGGGAUGUUUCUCUCCUUCCUCCCAAAC